GAAGAGGAGGAGGAGCUGGAUCUUGUUCUCCUCCGGGCCUUCUGCUUGCUUCUCUCUGUGAUGCAGGGAGAAGGUGAGGCUGGAAGGCCAGGAGGGGAAGAGGUAAACCUUCGUCCCCUGCUCUGGCCUGGGGCAGGCACAGACCGGCUACAGGGUGAGCGCUUCCUGAGGGGCUUUCCAGAACAGAGAUGGAGCUUCCCAGAGGAGCCCCUUCCUGGCUCCUGCGGCGCCUGGCCCUCACAUCUCAGGCCCGGCUGCACAGAGGCAUGACUGAGCGUCCCCGACCACUGCUCGCCCGACUUCCCCGGGUAGUAACUGCGCCUCCUCUCCCCGAUGCCUGUGGUCCUCACCCUCCGCCCCAGGGGCCGUGCUGGCCUUGCGACCUUGGGAUGUGGAGGCCGAGCAGUUCCUCGAGGUGUCUUUCCUGCUCUUCUUCUUUCUCUUUUCCGACCCCCGUCCCCGGGACCGGCUGCGACUCCUCGAGCGCUUGCGGGAGCCGACGUGAGCCAUGGCGCCGCGGGCUGGCGACGAAGAAGACGCGCUUGAGCCGAAGCCCCCAAGGCCGGCCGCGGGCGGGCUCCAAGGGUGGCUCUAGCGGGGCCGGGGCCUGGCGACGCCCAGUACCCGUCACCGUCCCGGGAAAAUGAGCGACCCUCACCCACCCCCAGCGCUGGGGACCCCGGUUUUCUCCGCCGACUCCAGUCCCCGCAGCGGUGCCUGUUAAGGGCCCGCCCCGUGCCCGGAGGCCCCACGCCUGCGCACCCGGCUCCAAACCCCUGGGAACUGGCCGCCGUCCGCCGCGAGUGGCGUCUGGGGCGCUUUCCCGCGCUCUCCUACCCUCCAGCCCCGCGCCCUUCGCGGCCUCGCCGCCUCAAGGGGGCCCCCGGGGCUGCUCCGUUCCCACCUCGACCGCCCUGCGGGCCGGACAGCCCGCCCCGCGCCUUCUCGAGAGGAAGCGGCGGCGAGGAGGCUUCCGGCCGGGGCGCUGCGCGGGAGGCUGGCCGGCUGGGAAGCGCGGCGCCGCUGCCUUUCGUUCUGACGCCCCAGGUUCCGUCCCGGGCGCGCCCACCUCCCGCAGAGGCAAGCAGGGGCGCCGGCCCUCGAGCUCCGCAGCCCCUCACGCCUGUGUCUGCCGAAGCUGCGCCCACUUCCAAGGCUGCCCUCUCGGCGCACGCCCGCAGCACCCACGCCCCCGGUGCCCUGGGAAGAAGGCGACCCUCGCGCGCGCCGCCCUCCUCCCCGGCUGGUCCUGCCCUCUCCAUACGACUGCGAGCUCCAGACUGAGGCGCCCUGGUCUUUCCGACGCGCCCACCCAGUGACUCAGAGGUCGCAAACUCGUGUCCGUAGGGGCCAGAAAGAUCUUGGCAGUGAGCGCGGGCAUGGACCCCAGGCCCAUCCGGAAGGAAGCCAGGAUUCUGCUCCAGCUGAUACGUGCAACGUGGCAUGGGGCUGGUGCCCCACCUUCCCAGGGAGACCAAACUCAAGACUGCAAUAUGGAAGCCCCCUGAGUUUCAAAUGUGUAACCCAAAGCGUGGCUGUGCGCUUCAUCCAAUCUCGGGCCCCCAAGUUGCAACUCUUCCACAAUGACAGCCGCAAACACAAAGGGAUCUUGCAAAGCACUUUAUAUACGUCAGCGCAUUUGACUCCCAAAACAGCUCUAGGAGGUAGGUGCUAAAUGAGGAAACGAAGGCACCAAAAGGUGAAGGCUCACCUAAAGCCACACAGCUGGAAGUGGCAGAAGCAGAAUGGGAACCCGGGCAGCCUGGUUCCUGGCCCUGCCAUUCACCCCUCUGCCAUCUAGAAGAUGCUACUGGUGGCCCACCCGAGUCCACUGGGGGGUGAUGCCUGCUGCUGAGGGUUCACAUCUGUGCUCUCUGGAGGCUUCCCUUGGCUACUGGAAGGCACCCUGCCCUGGAGAUAAGUGUCUGGGAAGUUAUUCACUCCUCUCUGGCCCCCUCAUCCAGGAGCCAGUAACCGGUGGUGUGGGCACACUGUGGUACUGUGGGCUCUGCCUGGAGCUCUCCGUGGGGCCAGCUGAGGCUGGACGUCCUCUGAAGCCACUUCCUUGCCCAGCUGCUCCCUCCCCUCCCCUGCUUCCCUGACUCCCUCGCUGAAGCCCCAUUCCAGACCCUGCUUCUGACAAACCUGAACUAAGGCAGCAUCUUUGCCCAUAGAAUGACCCAGAAGCUGGCACACCGUUGAGCCAAGAAGUGCAGUAGGCUGCGGGGAUUUUAUUUCUGCCCCCAGACCAAGGCAACGGAGCCCUCACCUGCCUGCCACCCCCACACUGGGCCCAAGCAAGCUCAGGUGAGCGCACAUACAUCCACCGUGGCGGGCUCCUCUCGGGUGAAGCCAUCACCGAAGCCCUCAUCGUCCACCAGGUCGGGCUCACGGCAGCACAUGGGACAGAGGCUGUUGCGCACAGCAGAGGCUCGGAGCCAGACGACAAGGUUCCAACGCUCACCAGUGCCCAAGGGCCGGGCUCCAUGCAGCUGGCCGCCACGGUGGAGGACACCCUGGCCCACCACGUGCUCCACCUCCAGGGGCUCCGUCAGGGCUGUGGGUGCCUGCAGAUGGCACGACUCAGGCCUGGGCACUCACAGCUGCCCCAGGCCCUGCCGCAUGGGUCACACACUCACCUGGAAGAGGCCCCCAAAAUACAGGGCGCCCCCUGUGAAGACCUUGCCCAAGGCCACAUUGAGGGUGAGCUCGGCAUUAUCAUAGUGGCAGCCCAGCUCCAGGUCCUGGCCCGGUGCGUAUUUGACCACAAAGGCCCGGUGGCUGUCGAGCCGGCCCCCGCCACAGUCAGGGUACAGCAGGGCCAUCAGCGGCUGCAGGAAGCGCUCCCGCAGUGGUGUCAUCAGCGGCUCGUCCAGCCCGAGCUCGUGCAGCAGCACCUGGGAGGGGAUUCCUGGGGUCAGCAAGGAAACUAGAGGGCUGCAACCCUGGGCUUCCACUCCACGGUGAUCCCACUGUGACCUUCUUUCGCAGCCCGGGCAGGCAGCCCAUCUGCAGAACCUCUGACACUGCCUCCUGACCCCAGCCACCCCCUCCUCUGCCACCGGCCAGGCCUCACCCACCCCGUAGUUGUUCAUGGUGUUGGGCCUCCCCUUAGGCAUGUCCGAUUGCUCGAAGUGCUCCAGCUCUUCCAGCAGGGCCUGGCAGAAGGGCGCUGUGAAAACAGGCACCCGGUAGAUGCGCUUCUCCUCUGUGGAAGGAGGGAUGGUCUGUUGGCCUGAAUGUGGCCGUGGGCCGGCCAGGCCUGGGCUUCAGUCUUCCUGUUUCAUCACCUGUGCCAUGGAGAUGAGGCCUUUGCUUUUCAGGGCUAUUGUGAUGACUUAAGGAAGUAACAUGAGGAGCAGGGGAGGCCGAUUCCCAUGCCCCCCACUUAUGCCCGGAACCUUUCCCCAGACUCUACAAGUGUCCACAGGGCUGGCCCUGGGAGCUCACAUAUGGGUCCUGAGGCCCAGAGAGGGGAAGGAAGUAGCCCAGGGACACCCAGCAGGCCAGUGACAGCCAAGUCGGGAUCACAGAGCCAACUUCAGGCUCUCUCUGCACCUCCUUUCAUCUGAUGAGCCACCGAAGUCUGUACCCCAACUCAGAAGUGGCUCUGGGAGCCUCUGUCCCCCAGCAGGAAGGCCAGAAGGGGCUGUUCUUUCUUGCUGGGCCCUGAGGGGGAAGAAACCAGGCUGAGAAUGGAAACCUAAACAUUUCUUGGCGGACGCACCAAUGCCCAGGGGUGCAGGGCUAGCCUGGCCUCGCCCUGUGGAUGAUGAUGGCCUUGCCCCCGUGAGCUACAACCUGGCCUUCAGCACCCGCCCACCUCCAACCAGCAGGAUGCGGCUGUGGAAGGCGGUGGUGGUGACUUUGGCCUUCAUGAGUGUGGACAUCUGCGUGACCACGGCCAUCUAUGUCUUCAGCCACCUGGACCGCAGCCUCCUGGAGGACAUCCGCCACUUCAACAUCUUUGACUCGGUGCUGGAUCUCUGGGCAGCCUGCCUGUACCGCAGCUGCCUGCUGCUGGGAGCCACCAUUGGUGUGGCCAAGAACAGUGCGCUGGGGCCCCGGCGGCUGCGGGCCUCGUGGCUGGUCAUCACCCUCGUGUGCCUCUUCGUGGGCAUCUAUGCCAUGGUGAAGCUGCUGCUCUUCUCAGAGGUGCGCAGGCCCAUCCGGGACCCCUGGUUUUGGGCCCUGUUCGUGUGGACGUACAUUUCACUCGGCGCAUCCUUCCUGCUCUGGUGGCUGCUGUCCACCGUGCGGCCAGGCACCCAGGCCCUGGAGCCAGGGGCGGCCACCGAGGCUGAGGGCUUCCCUGGGAGCGGCCGGCCACCGCCCGAGCAGGCGUCUGGGGCCACGCUGCAGAAGCUGCUCUCCUACACCAAGCCCGACGUGGCCUUCCUCGUGGCCGCCUCCUUCUUCCUCAUCGUGGCAGCUCUGGGAGAGACCUUCCUGCCCUACUACACGGGCCGCGCCAUUGAUGGCAUCGUCAUCCAGAAAAGCAUGGAUCAGUUCAGCACGGCUGUCGUCAUCGUGUGCCUGCUGGCCAUUGGCAGCUCAUUUGCCGCAGGUAUUCGGGGCGGCAUUUUUACCCUCAUAUUUGCCAGACUGAACAUUCGCCUUCGAAACUGUCUCUUCCGCUCACUGGUGUCCCAGGAGACAAGCUUCUUUGAUGAGAACCGCACAGGGGACCUCAUCUCCCGCCUGACCUCGGACACCACCAUGGUCAGCGACCUGGUCUCCCAGAACAUCAAUGUCUUCCUGCGGAACACAGUCAAGGUCACGGGCGUGGUGGUCUUCAUGUUCAGCCUCUCAUGGCAGCUCUCCUUGGUCACCUUCAUGGGCUUCCCCAUCAUCAUGAUGGUGUCCAACAUCUACGGCAAGUACUACAAGAGGCUCUCCAAAGAGGUCCAGAAUGCCCUGGCCAGAGCGAGCAACACGGCGGAGGAGACCAUCAGUGCCAUGAAGACUGUCCGGAGCUUCGCCAAUGAGGAGGAGGAGGCAGAGGUGUACCUGCGGAAGCUGCAGCAGGUGUACAAGCUGAACAGGAAGGAGGCAGCUGCCUACAUGUACUACGUCUGGGGCAGCGGGCUCACACUGCUGGUGGUCCAGGUCAGCAUCCUCUACUACGGGGGCCACCUUGUCAUCUCAGGCCAGAUGACCAGCGGCAACCUCAUCGCCUUCAUCAUCUACGAGUUUGUCCUGGGAGAUUGUAUGGAGUCCGUGGGCUCCGUCUACAGUGGCCUGAUGCAGGGAGUGGGGGCUGCUGAGAAGGUGUUCGAGUUCAUCGACCGGCAGCCGACCAUGGUGCACGAUGGCAGCUUGGCCCCCGACCACCUGGAGGGCCGGGUGGACUUUGAGAAUGUGACCUUCACCUACCGCACUCGGCCCCACACCCAGGUCCUGCAGAAUGUCUCCUUCAGCCUGUCCCCCGGCAAGGUGACGGCCCUGGUGGGGCCCUCGGGCAGUGGGAAGAGCUCCUGUGUCAACAUCCUGGAGAACUUCUACCCCCUGGAGGGGGGCCGGGUGCUGCUGGACGGCAAGCCCAUCAGCGCCUACGACCACAAGUACUUGCACCGUGUGAUCUCCCUGGUGAGCCAGGAGCCCGUGCUGUUCGCCCGCUCCAUCACGGAUAACAUCUCCUACGGCCUGCCCACUGUGCCUUUCGAGAUGGUGGUGGAGGCCGCACAGAAGGCCAAUGCCCACGGCUUCAUCAUGGAACUCCAGGACGGCUACAGCACAGAGACAGGGGAGAAGGGCGCCCAGCUGUCAGGUGGCCAGAAGCAGCGGGUGGCCAUGGCCCGGGCUCUGGUGCGGAACCCCCCAGUCCUCAUCCUGGAUGAAGCCACCAGCGCUUUUACUGUUUGGUUUGAGGCACCCCAGUCAACUCCUAGAUUUCAAAAACCUUUUUCUAAUUGGGAGUAAUGGCGGGCACUUUCACCAAGAUGUUCUAGAAACUUCUGAGCCAGGAGUGAAUGGCCCUUCCUUAGUAGCCUGGGGGAUGUCCAGAGACUAGGCCUCUCCCCUUUACCCCUCCAGAGAAGGGGCUUCCCUGUCCCGGAGGGAGACACGGGGAACGGGAUUUUCCGUCUCUCCCUCUUGCCAGCUCUGUGAGUCUGGCCAGGGCGGGUAGGGAGCGUGGAGGGCAUCUGUCUGCCAUCGCCCGCUGCCAAUCUAAGCCAGUCUCACUGUGAACCACACGAAACCUCAACUGGGGGAGUGAGGGGCUGGCCAGGUCUGGAGGGGCCUCAGGGGUGCCCCCAGCCCGGCACCCAGCGCUUUCGCCCCUCGUCCACCCACCCCUGGCUGGCAGCCUCCCUCCCCACACCCGCCCCUGUGCUCUGCUGUCUGGAGGCCACGUGGAUGUUCAUGAGAUGCAUUCUCUUCUGUCUUUGGUGGAUGGGAUGGUGGCAAAGCCCAGGAUCUGGCUUUGCCAGAGGUUGCAACAUGUUGAGAGAACCCGGUCAAUAAAGUGUACUACCUCU
rnacentral:lncRNA from 1 species